rnacentral:lncRNA from 10 species
GACGACGCAGGCCACGCCGCGGCCCAGUUGCUAGCCAGGCAGGGUGGGGAUUUGAUCUUGCCAAGGAAAUGUGAGCGGGAGGCCGAGCGUUGGAGGUGGCGCUGUCGACUGACUCCUUGGCUUGUUCAGGCUGUGCAACCUCAGUCUCUCCUCCGCGAUGGCUGCCCCUGUCUGCUCAUCCUCACCUGGCCUUCAGCAGGUGCUCAGCUGACAUCGGUGAGGGAAUGGGAGUGAUUCGUCAUCACAGUAACCGUGUACUUCAGAGAUGGGAUCUUUCUACGUCACCCAGGCUGGAAUGCAAUGGUUAUUCACAGGUGUGAUCAUAGCUGGUCUUGACCUCGUGGGCUCAAGUGAUCCUCCUGCCUCAGCCUCCUGAACAGCUGGGACUACAGGUGUGUGCCACCACAUUUGGCUUACCAUUAUUUUAGAAGGACUUACACCUGUCUUGCUAUCUGGAGUCUGCAGAUUUCUUACCCAAGGGCUGUGCGGAUCAGAGC